CCUACGGGAGGCAGCAGUGAGGAAUAUUGGUCAAUGGGCGGGAGCCUGAACCAGCCAAGCCGCGUGAGGAAAGAAGGUACAGCGUAUCGUAAACCUCUUUUGUCAGGGAACAAAGGCGGGGACUAGUCCCCGGAUGAGGGUACCUGAAGAAAAAGCAUCGGCUAACUCCGUUCCAGCAGCCGCGGUAAUACGGGGGAUGCGAGCGUUAUCCGGAUUUGUUGGGUUUAAGGGGUUCGCAGGCGGGCUGUUCAGUCAGCGGUAAAAGUCCGGGGCUCAACCCCGGCGAGCCGUUGAAACUGGCGGGCUGGAGUGGGAGAGAAGUACGCGGAAUGCGCGGUGUAGCGGUGAAAUGCGUAGAUAUCGCGCAGAACCCCGAUUGCGAAGGCAGCGUACCGGCUCCACACUGACGCUGAGGCACGAAAGCGUGGGUAUCGAACAGGAUUAGAUACCCUUGUAGUC
rnacentral:rRNA from 1 species